rnacentral:misc_RNA from 1 species
GAAAGCUAGCACCAGCAGUAUUCUUUGUUAUUUGGCUACUUAGUGCCUGAUCCUACCUGUGCUGGCUUGAUCAUAUCAUAUGUAUUUUUCUGUUUGUGGUGGAAAUUUUAGGAUUCACAUUCAGGAACUAUUGCCAGCAUGUGUUAUUAGAAACUUCUCAAGACCUUUUUACUUUGUUGGAUAGCCUUAUCAAUUAAAUAUUGCCUUGAUAAGUGUUGAGUAUAUAUAAAUUCGAUUAUGGGGAACUAGUUCCCUUUUGCUAUAUUUUUC